CCUACGGGGGGCAGCAGUGAGGAAUAUUGGUCAAUGGACGAGAGUCUGAACCAGCCAAGUAGCGUGAAGGAUGACUGCCCUAUGGGUUGUAAACUUCUUUUAUAUGGGAAUAAAAUGUUCCACGUGUGGGAUUUUGUAUGUACCAUAUGAAUAAGGAUCGGCUAACUCCGUGCCAGCAGCCGCGGUAAUACGGAGGAUCCGAGCGUUAUCCGGAUUUAUUGGGUUUAAAGGGAGCGUAGGUGGAUUGUUAAGUCAGUUGUGAAAGUUUGCGGCUCAACCGUAAAAUUGCAGUUGAAACUGGCAGUCUUGAGUACAGUAGAGGUGGGCGGAAUUCGUGGUGUAGCGGUGAAAUGCUUAGAUAUCGCGAAGAACUCCGAUUGCGAAGGCAGUUCACUGGACUGCAACUGACACUGAGGCUCGAAAGUGUGGGUAUCAAACAGGAUUAGAUACCCGAGUAGUC
rnacentral:rRNA from 1 species